rnacentral:rRNA from 1 species
GGUGCCUCCUUCGGUAGCGGACGCAGCUCCCCUUUUUGUGGUGGCAGUUUCAACUGACGACUUGGCUUCCUCUUCUCUGAAUCUUGCUCCGAUGGCUUGGGAUUGCUCAGACUGUGGCCAAGGCGAAACCCUUGCUCGAUUUUUCGAUGCUGGCAGCGGCGACACCUAUGGGUGCCGUCACCUUCUUGAAGGCGCUGCCAUGGCCGUCAUUUGUGCCCCUCUUCGAGCAGCAGGGGAAACCCUAGGUCCGGUUAUCCGGAUCGGACGGCGACGGCGUCUCGGCGUCGUUCUCCUUCAUGAAGGCGUCGUCUUGUUUGUUUGCGGCGUCCUCGGUAGUGGAUUUAGAGAUGUUGGCCGCCAUGUUCGAUUGGUUUGGGCUGCUUACAGGGUGGCGAGUUUAGCUGUGUUGUGUCUAUGUCUGGGUUGAGCAUCCCAUGUCUCUGCUCCGUGCACCAUGGUAACGCCUCUGCGUUCGUGCCAUGUGUUGUACUACCGCUUGUAUUCACCCUUCUUCUAUCAAUGCAAUGAUACGCAAGCUUUGCGUAUUCGCGAAAAAAAUACUCCCU